rnacentral:rRNA from 1 species
AUUGAACGCUGGCGGCAGGCCUAACACAUGCAAGUCGAACGGUAACAGGAAGACGCUUGCUUCUUUGCUGACGAGUGGCGGACGGGUGAGUAAUGUCUGGGAAACUGCCUGAUGGAGGGGGAUAACUACUGGAAACGGUAGCUAAUACCGCAUAACGUCGCAAGACCAAAGAGGGGGACCUUCGGGCCUCUUGCCAUCGGAUGUGCCCCGAUGGGAUUAGCUAGUAGGUGGGGUAACGGCUCACCUAGGCGACGAUCCCUAGCUGGUCUGAGAGGAUGACCAGCCACACUGGAACUGAGACACGGUCCAGACUCCUACGGGAGGCAGCAGUGGGGAAUAUUGCACAAUGGGCGCAAGCCUGAUGCAGCCAUGCCGCGUGUAUGAAGAAGGCCUUCGGGUUGUAAAGUACUUUCAGCGGGGAGGAAGGGAGUAAAGUUAAUACCUUUGCUCAUUGACGUUACCCGCAGAAGAAGCACCGGCUAACUCCGUG